CACGUGCUUGGCUAUAGAAUUUUGUGCUAUCUCUACUGCUCUCUAGUGGCUGAAUUUUUUCUAAAUCAUUUUUUUUCUUGAAAAUUUUGAGUACCCAGACAGCAUUCAAGUCCCAUUUUCAUAAAAAUUUCUAAGUGCUAGUGAAAGUGUUUCACCACACGAUAUGAGACGAGAAUUUUUAACUGGAUUUUACGGAAGCGCUGGAGAAGCUUUAAUUACUUCAAAUAAAGCAGUAUUAUGGACCGAUGGAAGGUAUCACCUUCAAGCUGACCAACAACUCGACUGUAAUUGGAUUCUUAUGAAAUACGGCCAUAAGGGAUUAAAAUUUCUUUCCGUAAGUUCGGAAAAAGUUUCAUAUCAACUAUACUCGUUACAACACCCUCCAGUGUCCCGAAUUGCGAAUCAAUACCGAGUGUAAAAAGCAUCAGAAAGAAUAAUACUGACCAGAAUUGAGCACCGGG